UCGUGAGUUCAAGCCUCGGUCGGGGCGGAUGGUGGAGCUCCAACAAAAGUGAAUUUCUCUGUGCUUGAUAUACACCCCUGCGAAUGUGUUCGGAAUGUUUUCUUUAUCGUUGCUAAGUAAGUAAUAAAUCCAGAGGUGCUCGAAUGAAAGUUCACGAGACUUCACCAAUAUUUGUUCACUUCCUGUGAAAUUUCGAGGGGAAGUAUAAGUGUUCGGAUAAUAUUCUCAAAAUACGUUUAUUAAAAUGGCUUACAAUCCAGGAAAAUGGACUCGUGGUAAGGAUGGAGAUACGCUCAGUAAGGAUGUGACAGCAAUACCUGGAAUCGGAAAAAUAAAUGGGGGCAAACUCAGAGCUGAAGGCUGUUAUACGGUGGGUGACGUCUUGAACAAAUAUAAGGAAUUAGGGAGCAAGGGUAAAUUCCUGGAAUGGUUAGAUUCCAGUGGUAUAACCAACAGCGAACACAAACGAGAUUGCUACAGAUUUAUAAACGAUUUAGCCAACUGAUAUGCAAUGUUGAAUUGAGGAAUAAUUGAUACUGACAAACAAUUAAUCAACGUUAACUUCUCUUUUAAUGCAAAAUGAUUUCUUGUUUACCUUUAUCCUUAGAGAGGGGAUUGCGUUUUACUUUCUGAUUAGCUUUUAUUAUUAUUUUUUCAUCCUAGAACAGACAUAAUUUUAAUACUGAAACUGUCAUUUGCUUGUCUGUAUACUUGUUUAGAGCAUAUUUCAUAGUUGUAACAUGUAGUAGACUGUGAGUUUUUAUUGUGAUAUUUAUUUCUCAACGGAAAAUAUAUUUUAUAGUAUUCCUUUGCACUCAUUUUAAUAAUAAAGAAAAAAUUGACGCAUUAUGCACCUUAAGGGUGUUGUUUACGCAAGGUUGUAGCUCUCCUAUUCGUAUGGGUUUAAAGUUGGAAGUCAUGAAUAAAAUUUGAUAUAAUAAUAAAUAGUAGUUAUAAAAUAAGUUUUACAAAACAUUCGAUAUUUUUAUUUUAAAGAAUUUUGCUUAAAAUUUGACCUUGGCAAAACAGGAAAGUGGGACUCAAUUUUGCAAAAUUUAUUUUCUUCUAAAUUAUUUUUUGUAGUACUUAAAUAUUAAAAGGUUAAAUUUUAUAUGAUAUUGAAAAUAAUUUGCAUAUUUUCUGUUGGACUUAUCUUGUUUAAUCGUUAUAAUAACUGUAUAGCUCGCAAUGUAAAAAAUAUUGAAAAUUCUUUAAAAUCGAAAAAGACACCAUAUGUCAAAAUAAUAAUCAUUGGCCUCAUAUAAAUGUUUAUGCCAGCAGAAUAAGGUCACCAUUAAUGUUUCAAUACAUUAGAUGUUUUGGUAUUAUCAUAAUUUAAUUUUUGUUAAAUUGAAUAAAAAUUCAGUAGGAAUAUAAAACUGAUAGGGGAUAUUCGGACUGGAGUAUUUUUAAAUAUUGUCACUGAAAACAUCAUGAUUUGUUUCAAUUAGGUGCCAUUCAUAAACUGUAUAUCAUUUUUAAAGGAGUUUAAUUAAAUAAAUAUUUCAAAUUAAAAAAAAAUAAACUCUCAAGCAUAAUGUUAAAUUUUAAGAGAUUUUCCUAAAAAUAUUUUUCAAAAAAUAUUAAGUGUCUAAUAACUCUAAAACUAGCUCGUUGACCUACUUAUUGAGAGUGAAAAAUAACACUACAUUCAAAAGUCUAUGUCAUACAAUAGAGGGUUUUUCA